CGCCAGUCGGCUAUAAUUGGUGGUCGCUAAAUCAGAUACAAGCGGUAUUAUUAGCUGACCACUCGGCCACUGGCCUUCCUCACAAUGCAAUUCCGGUAAAAAGUUAUCGGUAUCACUGCAAGCGCACUUGGACUUGACCUCGCAUAGAUUUUUUGGAAUCGGUCAAGAACCUCUUUCUUGCCAACCUAAACUUAUUGAAGUCUGGCCGAAUUAUGAAAAAAAACUGCGAUUUUGUCAUUUUGAUGGCUUCAUUCAUUUUGGUUUUGUGUUUGUCAGGGUAAUGGCGAAUUUUUACUAAAGCCAUGUCUUUGCCAUACGGCCCACCUCAAGCCGUCUCACCCUUAAUCCGAGGGGUGAGGUUCGCUUUGCUUCUGGCUGGCAUAAUAUAUGCCCAGGGGAAGCAAAGACUGUACAACUCCAUGGAAGCUUCUUACCGGGAAGAAGAAGCCCGAAAGAAGGUCAUUCGCGACAAGCAGAUGGCUAUCUUGAAAGCGAAAAUCGCUGCCGAGGAGAAAGAGGCAGUGCGGUUGUUGGAGACUGGAAAAUUGUUCGAUACAGGACCCGGUGGAGGUGGUGGUGGUGGAAGUGGUGGUUCUGGCUGCUAGAAAUUGAUGCUUACUCCAAUGAUAUUACUAUUACAAUAUUUAAUUUAAUUAGGAAAAAUUUGAAAUGUAAAAUUUUCAGCAAAUUAAACCAAACGUAAAAAACAA